GGGUGAAAAGAACAAAGUUUUGUCCAUCUUUGUUCAUCAUAGCCGAAAGUUAGAGAAGAGAAAGGAGAGGAGAAAGCUCUUGAAUGUUCGGUCACUUGGGGAAGAAAAUUGAAGGUAAUCCCUAACCAUAGUGGGCUUGGAGCUGUGAGGGAAUUCGGAGUGGCCACCCAUUCUGAAAGUUUGAUUUUCUUCUGGUGAACUGGACAUCCUUUUAUUUACGUUGAAGUUUUGGGUUUUUAAAUGUAAUAAGGCCGCUUAAUUAUUUUUGAUGGUUUUAAUAUGUAUUACUAAGAUAGGUAUUACUUAUUUUAACUGUUGAAAUUGGAUAGCUUUAGGGCGCGUUUUCAAAAAUAACAA